rnacentral:rRNA from 1 species
AUUGAACGCUGGCGGCAGGCCUAACACAUGCAAGUCGAGCGAGCGGCGGACGGGUGAGUAAUGUCUGGGAAACUGCCUGACGGAGGGGGAUAACUACUGGAAACGGUAGCUAAUACCGCAUACCAUCAGAUGUGCCCAGAUGGGAUUAGCUAGUAGGUGGGGUAAUGGCUGACCUUGGCGACGAUCCCUAGCUGGUCUGAGAGGAUGACCAGCCACACUGGAACUGAUGCACGUGCGAGACUCCUACGGGAGGCAGCAGUGGGGAAUAUUGCACAAUGGGCGCAAGCCUGAUGCGGCCAUGCCGCGUGUGUGAAGAAGGCCUUCGGGUUGUAAAGCACUUUCAGCGGGGAGGCGUUACCCGCAGAAGAAGCACCGGCUAACUCCGUGCCAGCAGCCGCGGUAAUUC